rnacentral:lncRNA from 1 species
AUCAUGGGUUACCUUGAAAGAAAAGCUCUCUUCACCUCACCCUCUCUUGCAUAGAAAUUGUCAUUUUUUCUCUCAUAACUCACAAUCACACCCUCUCCUUUUGCAUGCGACUCUCUCUCUUUUCUUCUUUGCGCAUCACUCUCUUUCUAUCCUUUUCCUCUCUAUGCUCACAUCUCUCAUGGCUUUUCACACAACUCUCCUUAUGUUGCGCUUUUAUCUCUUU